rnacentral:rRNA from 1 species
UACGAGGGGUCCUAGCGUUGUUCGGAAUCAUUGGGCGUAAAGAGUAUGUAGGCGGCUAGAUAAGUCAGGUGUGAAAUCCCCGGGCUCAACCCGGGAAGUGCAUUUGAUACUGUCUAGCUUGAGUAUGGAAGAGGGUAGUGGAAUUCCUGGUGUAGUGGUGAAAUACGUAGAUAUCAGGAGGAACACCGGUGGCGAAGGCGGCUACCUGGUCCUAUACUGACGCUGAGAUACGAAAGCGUGGGGAGCAAACA